AUCGUAGUGUCGAUGAUUGCGCUGUUGCUGAGUUUUCUCAGGACGAUAGUGUAAUCCUUCGUUGGCGAAGUCUCGCUGCUGACCCUAGAACACGAACGAGCUAAUUUAUUCUUCGGAAGAAAAGGUACAAAGGCUCGCGUGACGAAGCAGCUAUUUUCUUGUCGUCAAUCUUCAAAUAGUGUUCCCUCGAGCGCACCGCAGAUCGAAUGUGAUUUCUGUGCCACGAUGAGACAGGAACGGUGAACUUUUUAGAUGUACACGUGGAUAGACGAAAUUGGUGGUCAAGGGGUGAACGUACUUGAAGCAUCAGAUAAGAAUCGAUUUGUCAGACUGCCUUACUUUUGCUUUACUUCCCUUCAGGAAUAAGACCCGGUCGUGUAUAGUUUUCGACACAAUCUAGAAGCGGCAAUUGAAAGCAGAUAUAAGCACAGCAUUGCAGACAAACCUGACAGACAUAUUGCUGCUGAUCCUUGUUGUAAAUGGGCGGCAGACUCGGGCUUCUGUGCCUGAUUUGCGACACUUCCGGUUGCUCGUGCAGA